rnacentral:rRNA from 1 species
UACGGGGGGGGCAAGCGUUGUUCGGAAUUACUGGGCGUAAAGGGCGCGUAGGCGGCCUGCUAAGUCACACGUGAAAUCCCUCGGCUCAACCGGGGAACUGCGUGUGAUACUGGCGGGCUUGAAUUCGGGAGAGGGAUGUGGAAUUCCAGGUGUAGCGGUGAAAUGCGUAGAUAUCUGGAGGAACACCGGUGGCGAAGGCGGGUCUCUGGGCCGGUACUGACGGCUGAGACGCGAAAGCGUGGGGAGCGA